rnacentral:rRNA from 1 species
UCAGGACGAACGCUGGCGGUAUGCUUAACACAUGCAAGUCGAACGAGAAACCUCGAAUAGAAGCCUUCGGGAGGAAAGGAGAGGAAGAAAGUGGCGAACGGGUGAGUAACGCGUGGGCAACCUACCUCACGGAAAGGGAUAGCCUCGGGAAACCGGGAGUAAAACCAUAUAAGACCACAGCGUCGCAUGACGCAGGGGUCAAAACUCCGGUGCCGUGAGAUGGGCCCGCGUCCCAUUAGCUAGUUGGCAGGGUAAAGGCCUACCAAGGCGACGAUGGGUAGCCGGUCUGAGAGGGCGAACGGCCACAUUGGAACUGAGACACGGUCCAAACUCCUACGGGAGGCAGCAGUGGGGAAUAUUGCGCAAUGGGGGAAACCCUGACGCAGCAAUACCGCGUGAGCGAAGAAGGUUUUCGGAUCGUAAAGCUCUGUUAUCGGGGAAGAAGAAGUGACGGUACCCGAUGAGGAAGUCCCGGCUAACUACGUGCCAGCCGCCGC